CGUGACUGACUUCCUUCCUUCCUUCCACGCGCUUCGCUUCCCGCUCCAGUCAGUCAGCCAGUCAGUCUCCUCCCCCGAACCCUACGCCCCCUCCCUCCAUGGACCACCUCGCCGGGAGGCUCGCCGCGGCCUCCGCCGACGACCCUGCCCCCUCCCCCUCCGCUGGAAACGACGGCAGCCUCCUCGACGUCAUCCGCGCCGUCGAGCGCGCCGAGGGCACCAUCCGCGACCAGUUGCAGGAGAACAACAGGCUCAAGGAGGAACUGAUGAAGAAGACGCGGCUGUUGCAGAGGGUUAGCGAGGACGCUGCAUCCCAGGCCACUUUCGGCGGCGGCGGCGGCGCGAGCCAAGAGCCCCGCACUUCCGUCGUCACUAGCAAGAUGGACGGCCCCACGCCUUAUGACGGCGCUGCCUCGGCGAACCCGCGAGGCGCCUCUGCUCUCCGUCACAACGGGGUUUCAGAGAGCGGAGGAGACCCCCUGGUGCACCAACAGACGAGGCACAACAAGUACCUCGACAGCAGCCAGGCGUUUAGAAGGGAGCCGGCAGGAAUGGACAAUGGUGGACCCUCGCACUUCUCCACUCCAUCGUCUCGUUCCAUUUCUCCGACAAGGCCUAGAAAAGAAGGCGAUUAUGAUUCCAGACUCAACUUACCUGGACAGGGGCUACUGCCUGUUUCAGAGAUGAACUCAAACGUGUCCUGGAAGCAGGACCUUACUGUUAAGGUCAAAGAACACGAAGAAGAGAUCACACAGUUACGAAAGCAUCUGGAUAACUAUAUAAUAAAGGAAGCACUAAUACUCAAGGAAAAAUCGGUGCUGGAAAAACGCAUCGCUUAUAUGCGUGUGGCAUUUGAUCAUCAGCAGCAAGACUUGGUUGAUGCAGCAUCAAAGUCUUUAGCAUAUAGACAAGAUAUUAUCGAGGAAAACAUCCGCCUAGCAUAUGCAUUGCAGACUGCACAUCAAGAGAGGUCAAUGUUCAUAUCCUCUUUGCUGCCUAUUCUGUCUGAAUAUGAGAACCUACGACCGUCUGUCCCCGAUGCUCAAUCCAUUGUUGGUAAUUUGAAGGUUUUGUUUAGGCAUCUGCAGGAGCAACUAAUGCUCACCGAGGAGAAAGUUAAGGAGUCACAGUAUCAGAUUACCCCAUGGCAAAAUGAAUUGCCAAAUAAGACCAAUCUUCCUGUACAGUCACCUAACAAUCCUCUUGGAAAAGUAUCGAACAAAAGCAGCCUUGAUAUUGUGCCCCAGACGCCAUAUCCUCAAGUACAAUCUCCAAUGUCCUCCCCUUCCCCUGUUCAAGCCAGAGGUAAUUGGAAAAACCAUCAAGUAAUUCCAAGUGAGGCUCCUACAAGAAUUAUGGAUCAAGAUUACGGAGGAAGGGCCGCUCUUUCAAGCAGCAACCAAUUUAGGAAGGAUGUUCCUGCUCAAGCGUCCCAACGUGAUUCUGAUGCUCUGCAGUUUGGUUUCGUUGCUCAGAACUCGAGCCUACCACUCGAGGGCCCUAGUAGAAGGUAUGUCUUGGAUGAUUCUGUGGGGGCUGAAGACCAACAUGUGCGCGAACCUUCUGCUCAAUGGGGCCCUGGAGACUCACCUAUUUUAGAAUCUGGCCUUGAGGAAGCAAACCCUUCAUAUCCCUAUCUUCCUACUGUUCCCGAGGAGCCUGGUUCUUCUUUUUCUGAAGCUGCAGAGGACGAUCCAUUGCCAGGCAUAGAGGGUCUUCGAAUCACGGGUGAGCCUUUUCCUGGACGGGACCUUCAAGCAAGUGGGUUCUCCAUCAACGGAACCACAAGUUGUAAUUUCGAGUGGGUUCGUCAUCUAGAUGAUGGCUCCGUAAAAUUCAUAGAAGGAGCAAGGCAACCCACCUAUUUGGUUACUGCUGAUGAUGUUGAUAAUCUACUAGCCAUUGAAGUCCAACCCCUAGACGACAGAAAAAGAAAGGGUGACAUCGUAAAGGUUUAUGCUAACGAUCAAGCAAAAAUCACUUGCGAUCCUCAAACAAAGGAACUCAUAAAGAAAACCCUUGAAGUUGGGCAUGUGUCUUAUCAAGUCCAACUGCCUCAGGUGAGAUUCUUAGACAUGUGGGAACCAGCUGUUUUGGCAAUAAAGAGGGAAGGUUACAGCAUUAAAUGCAACGGGCAGCGUGGAGUUGUUCUCACGGAGAAAUUUCAGAAAGCAACUGCUAUUAAUAUUCCAUACGGAUACGAGCGUCAGACAGAGUUUUCGAUUGUAUCAGCUGACGGUGACGAGUAUAAUCUCCAGCCAGCAGACAAUAACAUGUCGCGGGAUACGAUUGUGCUAGUGCUAAGACUGUUCAGAUCCAUGGUAUGAGCUCAUCCAUUAUCUCUCGCAACAGGCACACUACAUACUAACAUCGCCCCCUUCAUUUCGUACCAAGGCAACCAUGUACUACUGCUGCUAUUAUUAUUUUCCAUAACAACAAAUAUCAUCGGUUUGUUUGGUCAUCAUGAAGUGAUGAUGGCCCCCAGUACAGUACUCUAUCCAACCCCUCACUAACAUCUGACAUAAGAGACCCUACCUACUACCACUAACAAGAAGGUCCCGAAGGCCGUCGAGAAGCGGCGGGGGAGGAAGAAGGGCCUCUUCUUCAAGUAGACCGAUCCGAUCCGAUCCGGCUUAAUGUAUAUCCGUCCGUGUUUAUUCUUCUUGGGGUCUACAGUCGACAUAUAUAGGGAGGGCUCUUGUGGUGAUAGGGAGGGCUCUUGUAUUUUUCCGUUGUGAUCGAACACUGAAGAACCUGAUGAGAUUGUUGUAAAUGUUCGGUAGAAAUGGUGGUGAGAGGAGAUGCUUCAGAUGUUUUGGUAGGACACAAGAUUAUCCAAAUAGUAUACUA